rnacentral:lncRNA from 1 species
GUGAUGGUGGCCCUGGGGACAGGGUGACAUCACACAAUGGGUGGAGAGGACCUCGGUGCCACUGUGGUCUCACAAGAGGCCAGGGUGCUGCAGUGUGGAGGGGGUAGGCACUAAGCUGCUCUCAGGAUCACAAGGGAAAACCUGAUGUCAUCUACAGGGUUGGUCCCUUCUGACCCUCACACUCCUGUGUCAGAGUCAGAAGAAGUUCUGCGCUCAGCUCUCCCUAGACUCCUCUUGUGAAGGAGGGAAUAAAGGACAUGAGGACACAGGUGACGUGUUCCACUGGUGAAAACAUGUUCUCAGCUCCCCACCUGGAUCUGUCACCUCUGGGAAGACGCGAAAAUGACAGCCUGCAGAGAGAUGAGCUCAGACGUCCUUCCCUUAAAACUGCAGGUUCCUCUCAGGUGCACAGAGUCCCCUGCACACGUCUGCCUGGUCCUGUGGGAGCUGAGCAGUGGGAUGCAGUAUCUAACCACAACCGGCAGGUGUGCUGCUGGAAACAGAGUGGCUCCCAGGAGAGGGAGAGAGGGGCUGCAGUAACCCAGGUUAAGAGCGUGCACUGGGAUUGAUCCACACUGAUCCACAAGGGGGUACUGUGGUCGAGAAUCAUAAAGGUAUUUAUAUUUGUGAUAACUUUUCUUACUUUUUCCUCAUUCUCUAAAUGCUUUUUCACUCUUCCCACAAAAAGAUGGGUACAAACAAUAUACUUUUUAAUUUUAUUGCCAUAAGAAAUGCCUUUUUCUUGGAAGUCAGCAUUGGGAUCACAGCCAAUGCCUUCCUUCUUCUCUUCCACGUCCUCUGGUUCUUUCUCAAGCACAGGCCCAGGCCCACUGACAUGACCAUUGGGCACCUGGCCCUCAUCCACCUGGUGAUGCUCAUCAUUGUAGGGGUCAUAGCUGCAGACAUCUAUGCGACUCAGGAGUUAUGGGACAACUUCACUUGUAAAGCUGUCAUCUACUUGCACCAGAUGUUGGUGGGCAAUGGCUAUGCCACCAUUGGACCUCUGGUGCUCAUCAGUACUGAAAAACGAAUGAUCCAGCUUUUCAAAUCCAUGUGGGAGAAGGAAAGUAAGCGUUUACUUGUUCAGGAAUAAACAACAUGUCUCUUCAUGAGCA